rnacentral:rRNA from 1 species
UCAUCAUGGCCCUUACGACCAGGGAUACAAACGUUCUACAUUGGAAUAUACAAAUUUAAGCGACCUCGCGAGAGCAAGCGGAACUCAUAAAGUCUGUCGUAGUCCGGAUUGGAGUCUGCAACUCGACUCAAUGAAGUCGGAAUCGCUAGUAAUCGUAGAUCAGAAAUCUACGGUGAAUACGUUCCCGUGCCUUGUACACACCGCCCGUCACACCAAGGGAGUGGGUUGCAAAAGAAGUAGGUA